GUUUGUCCUGGGACAAAGCACAAGAGAGUGGCACACAAAUUCAGUAGGGCUGCACGGGGGAUGGGGGGUGGGGGGUCGGGGUGGUGAUGCUGUUGUUCACACUUUUAAGACGGUCGGGGGGAAAAAACACCUCUUUCAGCCCCAAACCCAAUUCCGUGGAAAGCAGCGCUGGAAACAACCUGCGUUGGUUCAUUCUCUUCUGUUUCUGGCGGAUACCAAAAGGCUUUACCACCAGGGCUUACCACAGGUGGAGACCAUUUUACUUAAAGUCACUUUCCUUAGUCCAAUGUACUUGGAUCGAGUUGGGAAAAUGGAAAUAUUCCAAUACAACUUUGCCAAUACGGUUUCUCAAUUAAAUGUUUUAUAUAUAUUUUCACUGGAAAGAAUUUUUAGGUUGGAGUUUAGCUUAUUCGGGUUAUAAAAAAUACGAGCCAUAUACUCUGGCAAGGGCAGUCCUAAUUAUCAGAGCAAUGAUCCAAACUGGACUCACUUUCUGAAAAAAAAAAAAAAAUUAUAAGACUUCUUCAAUCUAAAUCAAUACGUUAAUACUCACUUCAAGAAUUAUUAGAAAAACCACUGAGAACUAAAUUCUAGGGCACACUGUAGGGUAAAUUAUGAAAAGUAGUCAAGUCAGUGCUUGGUGCUGACCUCCUCAGGCUCAUGAUGAAUGUGGUCCCUUUCCCCCACCUCCAUGCCUGGAUUUACUCCUCUGAUGGAUGGUGAGAGAUAAUAUUAUCAAUUUUAUUUAAAAAAAAAUUUUUUUUAGAGAGAACACGCAAAGUGGGGAGGGGCGGAGGGAGAGGGAAAGAGAGAAUCCCAAGCAACGUUCACACCCAGCACGAGCCCCAUAUGGGGCUCGAUCCCACGACUGUGCAGUCAUGACCUGGGCAGAAAUCAAGAGUCAGUCGCUUAACUGACUGAGCUACCGAGGCACCCCUAGAACUAUUUAAUAAUAAACUAUAGAAACAAGGCACUGCUGUUUCUCAUUAUUUUAACUGGUAACAAGGCAAUGUAAUAUAUAGCUAAAAUUAAAAGUUAUUUAAGAAGCAAGGAAGAUUAUUAAAAAGCGUUUUGUGUAUUUAGUAAGCAGGUGUAUUCAAAUCUAGUUUUGAAAAGGAUCAUGUAUAAAAAAUUAAAAAACAAAUUUGUUAGCAUCCCUAUCAAACUUUCCCUAUGUGCCGAAUUUCUGAAAAGGACCAGGAUGUGCCAUGGGAGCUGGCAGGUGAUUGGAUUGUGUCAAGUGGACACAGAAAAUGAGAGGAAGAAGAGAUACCGAGGCCUGUUUGUCCUUCCGCUCAGAGCUAAGCCAGCGCAGGAAUCACACCGUAUGGACCUCUGCCCACUUAUUCCAAAGAUGUUCACUUGAUUUUUGUCUCUACCCAGCUGGUGGCAACAAUCCACCACCACCGUCCGGAGACCAGCUUCUGUGCUCCGGGUGGGCAGGUCCAUACCUGACGCCAGAGACACCAGUGGGGAGCUGAGCCGGGCAGCAGUGACACCACGUAGGCUGCCUCCCGGGAGCAGCCCAGUGCUGCGUCAGGUGAGACAAGCAGGCACUUUGGAGGCACUCACGCACUGUGGGGCGAGGGCCCUCUCACUGAGGUCUGCUGCCAGCCUCCCUGGAUUCUGCAGUGUACUGUGGGCGUGGCCUUACACAAGGGCCUACUUUUGGAGGAAUGAGUCUUAUCGCAAAUUUCCUUGAGGUUUCCACAGCUUCUAUCAGUGCUAAACACUGUGGGUGUUAAGUGGACGUCUGUAAAACAAGAAAAACAACCCAAAUCCUGUGAUUCUUCAGUAAGUUUAAAAUGUGUUGACUACCAGUGACUUGUAUCACAUACAGAGGGACACCCACCUUAAAUAUCUAAAGAAGGCCUACAGAUCAGUAAGGAAAAACUUUUAGGAAGAUGGGCAAAGGACAGAAACAGUUCACAGGGAAGGAAAUUCAAAUAACUUAAAUAUCUGAUGUAUUCCUCACAAGGGGAAUGCACAUGAAAACAAGGAGAUUCAGUUUCUUCCCUGUGAAGCUGAAAGCGAUCAAAAAGCUUGCUGAUACUGUUGGCCAGAGUUGGGGGAAGGCCCCUCCACACUGCCAGACUGUGGAGAGGCAUAACAGGGACUACCCUCUAUGGAGAACAGUUUAGCAUAUGUAUCAGAAUUAGUCCCCUUAGACUCAGCAAUUUUAUUUCUACAAAUUUGCCUGGAUAGAUCCACCCACACACGUGGAAAAUGGCAUGCAGACAAGUACUCGCCAAGGAGCAGUUUGCAAUAGUAAAGAAAAAAGGAAACAACUGAAAUACCUUUUAACAGAGGACUUAAAUCAAUAAUGGUAUCUAUGUGACAGAAUACAAUCAGCCAUCAGCCCUAGUCCUGCGUAUAUUGCUAAGGAGGAAAAAAAGAACCCCGAAGUACCAAAUGGUGUAUGCAGUUGGCUGUCAUUGUAUGCGUGUAACAGCUAGCAGGCAGCAGUCCGGCCAGACGCACCAGAGGAACCAGGAAGAACAAGGGCGGGGACUCAUGCUCGUCCAUGGAGCUCAGUCUAGGACUGGCGCACCUUCAUGAAGGAAAGAACAUGAGUGCAAUUGUCAAAUUGCUGGAGAUGAUUUCAUUAAAACAGAGUAGAAACCAGCAAUCGGCAGCAGCUAGAAAGACAAGACCAGACCUUCUUAGGCUGUCUCAGUCUUCAGUUCAAAUACAUUAGACCAAAGAAAACCUCCACGAUCACUGAAGCUGCUGCCAUCAGAAACCAACUUCCC